UUAAAUUUUUUUCUCUUCAAUCACUGGUUCCCCCAAUUUUCUACGGGAGAAAAGUUUAAAACUUCCUUGCAAAUUUCGUUUCCCUCCCAAAAUCCAUGAAUUUCCCUCACCAAAUUAGAAGUUCUCUCCACAUCUUCACCACUCUGCUCUCUCUAGUUGUGUUGUCCCUCCACCAAAUCGACCAUCGCAUCAACGUGACCUACCGAUUCAGACCACCUCCAUUUAAUCUAUCACUUGGCGACGUAACGGGCAGCCUCCUUUGUUCAACGAUACCUAUACCACUUGUCUACACCAUCGACAUACGGUUGUCGCGCGCCAUGUUACUCAACAAUCCCCCCAUGCUACUGUCACUUUGAUACGGUUGGGUUUGAAGAUGCACACCAACUGUUCGUUGAAAUGCUUCAACCAAAUUACAGAACUAUUUUAAGGUUUUAUUGCAUCUUGUUUAUAAAUAAAAGCAAAUUUCUUGUUGUUAUUAGCUUGGAAAAUGCUUGUUCGAGUUUUCUUGAUCAAAAAGAUGUUUUAUGAAUUGCUGAAGAAACUGAAUUUUGAAUCGAAGCAUGAGGUUUGUCAUUGGUACGUAAGUUCCUUGUUGAUUUACUGGCACUGUGGAUACUGUUCUGGAUCUCACCGCUUGAAGGGGAGGUAAUGGCAACUAUAUACGCGAAAUUGGGAUUCUGGUAAUGUUAAUAUUGACGCUUGGGAAGGGGGAAAGAUCUGACAACAUAAAUUAGCACGAUGACCAGCCCAGGUAAUUCACACUUUCAAUAGAUUACAGUUGCCUCUAAAGAUUACUGUUUUUACAAAUCCGAUUUCAGAUUUCUUAAGUGAUUAGUGCGAUAUCAAUUACAUUUUUGCCUCCUGCAAAUGGGACACAUCAUACUCCUCUAAUCACAUAUUAUUGUUGUACAGUGAUGAAUUAGUGCUAUUUUAAUCCUAGCUUCUUGACUUCUUCGAUCACAAGUUUGUGAUAGUCCAGGUGUAGGUUAUGGCAUUCAUCAGCGUGGGAGAUAGAAAAAUAAUCUGACCAUGCCCAGAAGUAGAUUAUAUAUUUACAAUAUUGUUUCUUUUUUUAUAUAUAUUUUAUGGUCUUCUGGAUCCAAAUAUUAAUGCAUGUAUUCAACCAAUUUGCAGAAAUGAAUACAAUUGUUUUUUAGAUUGGCAAUCACUCAAGGAGUGGCAAUGCUUUUACAAAACAUAUAUGAAAGACAGAGACUCCUACAAAGUCGUUAAAAUUGUCACACUUUUUUUCAGGAAGUGGCAAUGCUUUUAUUGGUCAGUCGCAUCUUCACUUUUGCUUCACGAUCUAGCUCUUACGUUGCAAUAACGGAUCAUGCUUCUAAUCGAUUCAAUUUUCACAAACGGACUUCUCGAUUAUGGAUGUAUCCCAAAGGAACUCGUAUUACAUUCUUUAAUUACAAGCCUCUAAUUGGUUGACUACAUUGUGUUGAGACGGUUUCCUUUAAAUAUGCAGGUCAACAUUAGUUUCUAUUUGUACAGAAAGAAAUGUGCUUCUCCUUGACAUAGUUCUUGGUACAACUGCUCAUCCAUCUGCUAGAGCUCAUUAUGGCAGUCAAUAUGCUUCUGUGAUGGUUUAGUGGCACUCAGCAGUGCUCAGUGCUCUACAGGUUUGGAGUUUUAAAGGACAUAAGCUGAAAGUUGGUUGCAACAUGGUCAAAUGAUUUAUAACCAUUCUAAUGGUCAAAAUGGGUCUUUGCUCAAAUAGGUAGCUUUUAGUACGGAUUCACAUGCAAUUGAGCGGUUCGUUAUGUGCAGAAAAUACGGGUCAUAACUUUGAUACUGGACAAAAUAUGAGAAGAUCCUUAGCGGGUCAAGUAACUUCUAACUAAAGAUCUUCUUUGGAAGAAAGAACAAACAAUUUUUGUGUAUUGAGGUUGGGAAAGGAGUAGAGAAAUACUGGGCUGCGGAUAUGGAUGACAUUCGCGAAGAUUGGUCGGCUUAUGCGGUUACCUCUAUUUUUAAGUGACAAAUCGUAUUUUAGGUGUUGACGAUGUAUUGACAAACAAUUUUUUUUUUUGUUAACGUUAAAAUAUUUGUAGUAGACUUGACAAAUGAUUAUAUAAUGGAUUGUUUUGGUGUA